rnacentral:sRNA from 1 species
AGCUCGACCGGGUCGACCGCGCGGGACGUCAGCAGAUAGUCGCGCAUGACGAUCGCGUGCCGGCCCUC